UCCAGAGGUCUCAAUCGUUGUUCGGAUUCAUUGGGCGUAAAGGGUGCGUAGGUGGUUGGGUAAGUCAAAUGUGAAAUCCCGGAGCUCAACUCCGGAACUGCAUUCGAUACUGCCCGGCUCGAGGAUUGGAGAGGAGACUGGAAUUCACGGUGUAGCAGUGAGAUGCGUAGAGAUCGUGAGGAACACCCGUGGCGAAGGCGGGUCUCUGGACAAUUCCUGACACUGAGGCACGAAGGCCAGGGGAGCAAACAGG
rnacentral:rRNA from 1 species